UGGGGAGUCGUCUAACGGUAAGACGCCUGACUCUGGAUCAGGUAAUUGGGGUUCGAAUCCCUGCUCCCCAGCCA
rnacentral:tRNA from 1 species